rnacentral:misc_RNA from 1 species
AGCAGGUAUUUGAUAAUGAAUUUCUAUUUUAGCCUUUCAUGUAUUCUUCAAUUGUUUAUAUUUCAUAGGCUUGGAAGAUAUGUGUCCUAAUGUGAAUUAGUCGAAUGCCUAGAUUCACACUCCCCCGAGAUUCCUUCUAAGUACUAGCCUGAUAAGCAUGCAAUUGCAAUUGUUCAACAAAUGAUUUAUACUCUUAGAAUGUAGAAGGUAGAAGUUUGUUGACUUCCUAGUGCCUUUUGUCUUGCCUUUGAAACUUGGGAUAAUCUGGCAGGGGGGCAGAUGGUAGGAUACUCUUUGCUAAGUUAAGCCAUCUGAACCUUCAUGUUCUCUUAAACACUCUAGAAGCCAUAAAUAAUAUUUUCCUUGUGAAGCUUUCAUCAAGGAAGUAAAAACUUUCCCUGCCAAGCCUUAUUUAUGCUGUCCAGCCUGCUUGUUCAACUCGGUUUCCCUUUACCAUCAUAUUUAUAUUCGAGGAUGUUUUUUGCAUAUUGUGUCUUGGGAGUUAUGGUAACAGUUUGAUGAAAGGUUCAAUUCCCAGAUGUGCUAGAUUGUCA